rnacentral:rRNA from 1 species
UUCCCGAAUUUAAAAGAGCUAUAUUUUUUAUUGUAAUAAAUAUUAUUAAUAUGAAGUUAAAUGCUAUUAUAUCUGGUUUUUUAAGAAAAUUUAAUUUUAUCAUGUUUAAAGGGAUGAGCUUUUAAUAGGAUUAGAAUUUUUGUUAUAUUUGUUUUAUUAAAAUUUAAUUUUUAAUUUAAUUAGUAAUAAUGAUUAAAUUAGUAUAAGGUUGAUUAAAGGAACUCGGCAACAUUUUUCCGCCUGUUUAUUAAAAACAUGUCCUUUUGAAUUUAAUUUAAGGUCUGGCCUGCCCACUGAGGCUGCGGUACUCUGACCGUGCUAAGGUAGCAUAAUAAUUAGUUUUUUAAUUGAAAGCUGGAAUGAAAGGCUGGACGAGAAAAAAUCUGUCUCUGAUUAAUAGAAUUUUAUUUUUAAGUAAGAAAGCUUAAAUUCUUUAAAAAGACGAGAAGACCCUAUAGAGUUUAAUUUUGGUUGGGGUGACUGAAAAAUUAAAUAAACUUUUGAUUAAAAGAUAAAAUUACCUUAGGGAUAACAGCGUAAUUCUUCUAAGAGUUCUAAUCGAAAGAAGAGUUUGCGACCUCGA